GUGUCAGCAGCCGCGGUAAUACGGGAGUGGCAAGCGUUAUCCGGAAUUAUUGGGCGUAAAGCGUCCGCAGGCGGCCUUGUAAGUCUGUCGUUAAAGCGUGGAGCUUAACUCCAUUUAAGCGAUGGAAACUACAAGGCUUGAGUGUGGUAGGGGCAGAGGGAAUUCCCGGUGUAGCGGUGAAAUGCGUAGAUAUCGGGAAGAACACCAGUGGCGAAGGCGCUCUGCUGGGCCAUAACUGACGCUCAUGGACGAAAGCCAGGGGAGCGAAAGGGAUUAGAUACCCUAGUAGUCC
rnacentral:rRNA from 1 species